GUCCAAACGCGGGUCCCGACAAUUCCAAAACUAACAUAUCCAAAAUUAGGGUUUUCUAAACCCUAAUUAGGGUUUCCAACCCAAUUGCAUGUCAAUUAGGUCCAAACUUAAGCUUGCAGAUUAGUUAGAGUUUCACUAGGACGGGCACCACCCACUGCUACAUCAGGCGGUGGUGGUCGACGGUGGUUCAUGGCGGCAGCCACCACUUCACGGUGGUGGUGAUGGGUUUUCUUUAACUUUCAACCAAGAAAUGCUCAACCAGCAACACACUACUACAACAUAUGCAUUUCCCACGAUAUCACACACACACAACCACCUCCCACGGUGGCUGGUGGCAGUAGAAGAAGACAAUAUGGCGGCAGCCACCAUGGUUGGCUGCCAUGGUGGUUGUUUGCGAUUUCCAGCCAUCUAUAUACACACAUACACACGACUGAGAACGUGCUCCAUUUCUGCUCUAAGCAGAAUACGCACCAUACACACGCAAUUUCACGUACAACACCGCCACCCACGCGGUGGAAGACGGCCGUCGAGGACUGCAACAAGAGAAACAGCCGCUCGGAGCGGCAGCGACGAUGGGCGUAGCACCGGCAAAACGGAGAAGAAGGGUUGAACCGCGAACGACAGCAGCAACGGCAGAAAAAGGUGCUUGCUCGUGGUCCUCGUUGGCAACUGGAGCAACGAUGGUGCUAGAUGGUUGCAUGGACUUCGGCGGAGAAUUGGCAGUCGCUCGGAGCUUCGAUAGAUCGGAAAACGAGAGGGAGUCGGGUGGUGGCAGCUGGAAGGUUCACGCAUGGCGGCUGCCUUAUGGAUUAGGGUUUCUUGAUGAUACAUCUUCAAACAGGAAGGGAAGGAGCAACAGCCUCCACUCCCUUGGGAUGUUUCUGCAAACCCAAAUCUUUGAGUGUGCAUUUUCGAGAUCAAGUGUAUGCUUUUUGGUGUGUUCUUGGUGUGUUAGAGGAAGAAGAAGAUUCUUUGAGAAGCCUUGGUGAGGGAGCAACUUGUGAAUCUGGGAUUCUUACCUUCUUAAGAAGCUACAAAAGUGCGGGAAUUUAGUGAGCUAGCAGCCAGAGGCAUUCAGUGUGAUUCAGCAGUGCGGGGUGAGUUUUCCUCACUGUACUUUCGGGUCGAAGGCACCAAGGCCGGCUCAUUGGUUUGAGAACUUGAUAUUGUUGAUAUGCUGAGUAUGGAAUAGAUAUGCAAGUGUUAGGUUCAUUUUUACGUAUCAUUUUAGUAUUUUUCUUAAUUAUUUUCAUGACAUAUUGUGUAUAUUUAGCAUGCAUUUCAUAUGUUUUAUUACAUUGUUUGUUGGGGACAAUUUUACUCGUUUAAGCUUAAUUUGUGCAGAUUUAUGUAAGCGGGUAAUGACAUCUUAGAUGACCAAUAGAAGUCACAUGGAAAGCCUUGCAACCACGUUCGAAGUCUCGUAACAACAUCUACGAUAAAACAAUAAAACGAAGCGAUUUAAAGGUUUUUUGAAAAUUUGGCAGCAAUGCGCGGUCUUUGUAAAGUAAUUAGAUCGAGGGGUAAACGUGGUCCGGUCGAGCGAAAUUUUACUGAUGCCUAACUAACUCAUAGAUCUUUAAUAUGAAGGGUAGAGAUUGGAUUUUGAGAUCGUUUGAUUCUCUUUUUGGACCCCGUGAACAGCAACACGAAAUAUGCCCAACAUCAUUAAAUGACGGCCCAUUGUGAUUUUAGCUUAGCCCAAAAUCUGAUUUGUUUUUAAUUCCAUUUGGCUGCCCAUCUUGGAAAUUCAUAGUAGCCCAAAUAAUGAAUUAAAUUGUAGUCCCAUAUUAUAAGUUCAGCCCACCCAUGAAUUAAAGAAAGGUUACAUGAGAUACAAAGAAAAAGAAGGUGGCAUCGAUCGGAUAUACAUACAUUCACACACGCAACAUUUUUGGGUGACAACUCCAGACACACGUCAAAAACAGAAAAGGGGGAACGAGAAAGCUACUUGAGGGUUUUCUUUAGGUUUCAAGCAUCAAAACAAUAUUUUAAAUUCUUUUUGUAAGUUUUUAAUUUCCGUUGAUUAAAUUGUAGUUUUCGGGGUUUAGUCGUCUUAAACGGCUAAACCACCGGGUUUGAUGUUUGAAUAAGUUUAAUUAUUUAGACUCGUUUUAGAUUGUUGUGUAAUAUUGUUAUUUAGAUUUAAUACACUCAUAUCCAUAUGAUUUCUGAUUUUCAUUAA